rnacentral:rRNA from 1 species
AGAGUUUGAUCCUGGCUCAGGAUGAACGCUAGCUACAGGCUUAACACAUGCAAGUCGAGGGGCAGCAUGGUCUUAGCUUGCUAAGGCUGAUGGCGACCGGCGCACGGGUGAGUAACACGUAUCCAACCUGCCGUCUACUCUUGGCCAGCCUUCUGAAAGGAAGAUUAAUCCAGGAUGGGAUCAUGAGUUCACAUGUCCGCAUGAUUAAAGGUAUUUUCCGGUAGACGAUGGGGAUGCGUUCCAUUAGAUAGUAGGCGGGGUAACGGCCCACCUAGUCAACGAUGGAUAGGGGUUCUGAGAGGAAGGUCCCCCACAUUGGAACUGAGACACGGUCCAAACUCCUACGGGAGGCAGCAGUGAGGAAUAUUGGUCAAUGGGCGAUGGCCUGAACCAGCCAAGUAGCGUGAAGGAUGACUGCCCUAUGGGUUGUAAACUUCUUUUAUAAAGGAAUAAAGUCGGGUAUGCAUACCCGUUUGCAUGUACUUUAUGAAUAAGGAUCGGCUAACUCCGUGCCAGCAGCCGC